GAUGAACGCUGGCGGCGUGCUUAACACAUGCAAGUCGAACGGUGAAGCAGGAGCUUGCUCUUGUGGAUCAGUGGCGAACGGGUGAGUAACACGUGAGCAACCUGCCCCUGACUCUGGGAUAAGCGCUGGAAACGGCGUCUAAUACUGGAUAUGUGAUGUGACCGCAUGGUCUGCAUCUGGAAAGAAUUUCGGUGGGGGGUGGGCUCGCGGCCUAUCAGCUUGUUGGUGAGGUAAUGGCUCACCCAGGCGUCGACGGGUAGCCGGCCUGAGAGGGUGACCGGCCACACUGGGACUGGGACACGGCCCAGACUCCUACGGGAGGCAGCGGUGGGGAAUAUUGCACAAUGGGCGGAAGCCUGAUGCAGCAACGCCGCGUGAGGGAUGACGGCCUUCGGGUUGUAAACCUCUUUUAGCAGGGAAGAAGCGAAAGUGACGGUACCUGCAGAAAAAGCACCGGCUAACUACGUGCCAGCCGCCGCCGUAA
rnacentral:rRNA from 1 species